UCAAACGUUCCUCGAGCGAAUGCAAUC
rnacentral:sRNA from 1 species